rnacentral:rRNA from 1 species
UGGGAUGACGUCAAGUCAUCAUGGCCCUUACGACCAGGGCUACACACGUGCUACAAUGGCGCAUACAAAGAGAAGCGACCUCGCGAGAGCAAGCGGACCUCAUAAAGUGCGUCGUAGUCCGGAUUGGAGUCUGCAACUCGACUCCAUGAAGUCGGAAUCGCUAGUAAUCGUGGAUCAGAAUGCCACGGUGAACUACGUUCCCGGGCCUU